UGGCUCAGUGGCAGAGCCCUUGCCUAGCAUGUAAGAGCCCUGGGUUCCAUCCCCAG
rnacentral:tRNA from 1 species